GUGGGGGAUAUUGCGCAAUGGGGGAAACCCUGACGCAGCAACGCCGCGUGCAGGAAGACGGCCUUCGGGUUGUAAACUGUUGUCGCAAGGGAAGAAGAAAGUGACGGUACCUUGUGAGAAAGCCACGGCUAACUACGUGCCAGCAGCCGCGGUAAUACGUAGGUGGCAAGCGUUGUCCGGAUUUACUGGGUGUAAAGGGCGCGUAGGCGGGCUUUCAAGUCAGAUGUGAAAUACCGAGGCUUAACCUCGGGGCUGCAUUUGAAACUGUUAGUCUUGAGUAUCGGAGAGGAAAGCGGAAUUCCUAGUGUAGCGGUGAAAUGCGUAGAUAUUAGGAGGAACACCAGUGGCGAAGGCGGCUUUCUGGACGACAACUGACGCUGAGGCGCGAAAGUGUGGGGAGCAAACAGG
rnacentral:rRNA from 1 species